GGCAACCAUCGAUGUUUUUUCAGCAUCACUAAAGUAAAGGAAACGCAGAAGAUAUUCAAUUGGUGGUGUAGGCAACGUCGGUGGAUGUGUGGCAAUGGAAAACUUCCUAAACCGAACAACUAAGGAAAAUUGCGAGUCUCCGGCUCCUGCUACGAAGAGGAAGCGCGAGACUUCGGACGUGUGGCAGCAUUUCAAGAAAACGGCCGAUAAUAAUAAAGCAGUAUGCAUUUACUGCGGAAAAAUGCUUAAGACAGGUGGAAACACUACCAACUUGUGGGAC